rnacentral:rRNA from 1 species
UACGUAGGGUGCAAGCGUUGUCCGGAAUUACUGGGCGUAAAGGGCUCGUAGGCGGCCAACUAAGUCAGACGUGAAAUCCCUCGGCUUAACCGGGGAACUGCGUCUGAUACUGGAUGGCUUGAAUCCGGGAGAGGGAUGCGGAAUUCCAGGUGUAGCGGUGAAAUGCGUAGAUAUCUGGAGGAACACCGGUGGCGAAGGCGGCAUCCUGGACCGGCAUUGACGCUGAUGAGCGAAAGCCAGGGGAGCAAACGGG